GAGCACCUGUUAUUAGUUUGUCUUCUUCUUUGGUCGCGUGCGGGUGUGUCGCGGCCGUCGAUUUAAAUUGCGUCGGCGGCAUUGUUUAUAAAAUCAGUUCACCGAACAGCACUCGCGCGUUUGUGUUUGUGUUAAAGUUCUUCAGCGUGUUGUUUAUAUCGAAAGAAAGAGCUAAACGAACGUAGGGAGAGGCGCAGAGACAACGAACGAGUGCCGUCACAUUUUUUGCUCAGCAAAACAGAAACAACAAUUGACGCCGGCAUUGGCUUGAAAACAAACACAAAAAAAAAAGCGCAACAGCGGCCACAUUCCAAGCUACAGCGAGUGGCCCCCAAAGCUCAGGUCAGCCGCCCAGCGGCUCUCUCACUCGCACAGCAGCUGCACCAGCAUCAGCCUGAGUGGAAAUAUUUUA